rnacentral:rRNA from 1 species
UACAGAGGUCCCAAGCGUUGUUCGGAUUCACUGGGCGUAAAGGGUGCGUAGGUGGUGGGGUAAGUCGGAUGUGAAAGCUCGGAGCUCAACUCCGAAAUGGCAUUGGAAACUACCCUGCUAGAGGAUUGGAGGGGGGACUGGAAUACUUGGUGUAGCAGUGAAAUGCGUAGAUAUCAAGUGGAAUACCAGUGGCGAAGGCGAGUCCCUGGACAAUUCCCGACACUGAGGCACGAAAGCUAGGGGAGCAAACAGG